rnacentral:misc_RNA from 1 species
UGUACCUUGUGGGUGGUUUCAAUCACAUGAUUUAAACACGCGGGGUUACACACAGUGUCUCUGUUGGGAAUAUAUGCUUAAAUAUGCAGGGGUUGAGAGACAGAGGGUGCAUCUUCAACAAGGCAGUGUUGUCUUUGUUAAUCUGCAUUAUUUUCCGUGCACAAGGUGUUCCUGAGCUGGCAUGUCCUCCUGGAAUAAUUGAGGUUGGAACUUCAGCUGGACUCUUCUGCUCCAUAUCUAAUGUCAAUGUCACCCUUGUGUAUACUGACCCCAAUGGAAUUACAGUACAGUGUGAUAUGAAGACAGGCUCUUCAUUUUGUGCCACAAGUCAGGGUUACAAUACAUCAGUACUCAACGAUACUCACACGCAAAUAGAGGUAAAGAGUGUCAAACCAGCCCAUGGAGGUAACUGGACAUGUAAAGAAGGCGAAGGUGACGCCGCAGACUGUUGCUUUGUUUUUGUCAAACAGACUCCAUCUUGCACCAUAACCAGUGACAGAGAUACCAAAGCACUUGGCCUGAAUGAGGAUAUAUCCCUUACAGUGGCUAUUGUUGGUUUUUACUGUUCUUCAGAAAGCAACUUCAUUCUCCAGACAGGAGGAAUCAGAGAAGCACUGAACAUAAGUACACAUGUGUAUGGUAUAAAGAAUGUAAGUGUUGACACAAAACUGAACAUCAUGGAAUCCCACUUUGGUGAAGUCAGACUGAUAUUUGGUUGCCACAAUGAAGAGAUAAAUCUUACAUGUGGAUGUGUUGAAAGCUUUAACAGAGGAAAACUACCUGCCCUUCCACUCGUCCUGGGAAUUGUCGUCAGCAUCGUCAUCAUCAUCAUUAUAAGCAUCGUAAAUUGUGUAUUAAAGAGAAAUUGGAAGACCCCAAGUCCGUUUCUUGAACACUAUCACCCUGCAGAUGAUGUAAAUGAGGAGGGUUCGACAGUGUUUUCUGGGGAUGGAAGUGUUGCAUUGCGUGUUCCUGGUGAUGCUCUCUGGAGAGCGCAGAGAAAUGUAGGGGAGGGCGAGGGAGUGUAUUCAUUGGCGAAGUGAGUGAGUAUGAUGUUACGCCCCUCUAGACCAGCUAUAUCACCGUGGGACAUCAGAAAUGGGAUACAGACUGCCUGUAAUUUGAUUGAUCAUUAAAACUCAUCAACAUAAUUUGUCCUGAAUUUGAUGAUGCGCCAGUUGCUCUUAUUAACAUACAUGUAGUCGUUGACGGGGAAGUAAGAUUGAGUCAUCUUCCGGUGUUAUUCAUAGCAAUAUACAAUUUCCGUCUGUUCAGAUGAAACGUUCAACCAAAUACCAUCCCUGCAUUGAUACACUGAGAUAUACCAGAUGGAGGUGCCGAUCUCUUUUGUCCAGGGCGAUUCCAUAUUUAGCGGAGUCUUUCAUUACUUCCUGAUCUUCACGUGUCUUCAUCUCUCAUUUGUCAUCCAGACUUCAGUUGCCCAGAGGUAGCUGAACUUGAACGCCCUGCUGUCCUGCAGUGCUCUGUAUCUCACAGUGACACCACCAUUAAAUACGAAGGUCCAAAUGGAGUGGACGCGCCCCAGUGCGAUCUGGGACAAGGAAGGUGUACUGGGUUUGGAGUGUACAGUGCGUCGAUAGUUAACAACAGCAACACUGUACUGCAGAUAAGCAGUGUCGAACAAUCGAUGGAGGGUGUGUGGAAGUGUACAGAUGACGCCAGAAGACGCUCCUCCGCGUGUAUGCUUCAUGUGUUUAAAACUCCAUCGUGCAAUAUAACAAGUGGCGCGAACACAGAUGUAGUUGCAGCAGGUGAAGAAGCCUCACUUGAUGUCACCAUCUUCUCCUUCUUCUGUUCUGGAGCAUCUAACUUCACGCUGCAGAUUGGCAACACCAGCCAAACUCUGGAUACAGCUGUUGAUUAUUCUGCAAAGCAAACGGUCUCCGUAUCUAUUAAUGUCACCGACUCUCACUAUGGAGCUUUGAGACUCUUAUUUUCCUGUCACCGCUAUCAGCGGAGUCUCCCCUGUGCAGGUAUAGCACAGCUGCAUAAACCUGCCUCAACUGGUGGAGGUGCCAUCAGCUAUUCCAGGAACCUGAUACUGUACAUCAGUAUCAUAAAUUUACAAUUUCCAUGGUCGUUGUUGUGGUAAUGUGGGUAUUAGGGAGAACGGUAGAGUAAUAUACUAUUGGGAACACGGUAAAAUUUUUGCUCAAAAGGGAGCAGGCUGGUCUUCUUU